rnacentral:rRNA from 1 species
CAGUAGCCGCGGUAACACGUAGGUGGCAAGCGUUGUCCGGAAUUAUUGGGCGUAAAGGGCUCGCAGGCGGUUUCUUAAGUCUGAUGUGAAAGCCCCCGGCUCAACCGGGGAGGGUCAUUGGAAACUGGGAAACUUGAGUGCAGAAGAGGAGAGUGGAAUUCCACGUGUAGCGGUGAAAUGCGUAGAGAUGUGGAGGAACACCAGUGGCGAAGGCGACUCUCUGGUCUGUAACUGACGCUGAGGAGCGAAAGCGCGGGGAGCGAACAGGAUUAGAUACCCCCGUAGUCCCUGUCUCUUAUAC